rnacentral:tRNA from 1 species
AUGGGGAUGUCUUAGUUGGGAGAGUGUCAGAUUGAAGAUUUGAAGGUCGUGUGUUCGAUUCAUGCUCAGCAGA